UACAGAGGUGGCAAGCGUUGUUCGGAAUUACUGGGCGUAAAGGGCGCGUAGGCGGUUUCGUAAGUCCUGUGUGAAAUCCCCCGGCUCAACUGGGGAACUGCACAGGAAACUGCGAGGCUUGAGUUCGGGAGAGGGAAGCGGAAUUCCGGGUGUAGCGGUGAAAUGCGUAGAUACUGGGAGGAACACCAGUGGCGAAGGCGGCUACCUGGACCGGUUCUGACGCUGAGGCGCGAAAGCGUGGGUAGCAAACAGG
rnacentral:rRNA from 1 species